UACGAAGGGGGCUAGCGUUGUCCGGACUUACUGGGCGUAAAGCGCGCGCAGGCGGCACUGUAAGUAAGGUGUGAAAUAUCCCUGCUCAACGGGGAGGGUGCAUUUUAGACUGCAGAGCUAGAGGACGGUAGAGGGGGGUGGAAUUGCUGGUGUAGCGGUGAAAUGCGUAGAUAUCUGGAGGAACACCGGUGGCGAAGGCGGCAUCCUGGACCGACACUGACACUGAGGAGCGAAAGCCAGGGGAGCAAACGGG
rnacentral:rRNA from 1 species